GCCGCCGCGCCGCCGCGCCCCUCCCCCGCCCGUGGCCCCGCGCGGGCUCGCACGCUCGCGCCGGCUGCGGUGGCUCCAGGAUGUUAGGGACCGUGAAGAUGGAAGGGCACGAGAGCGGCGACUGGAACAGCUACUACGCGGACACGCAGGAGGCCUACUCCGCGGUCCCCGUCAGCAACAUGAACUCCGGCCUGGGCUCCAUGAACUCCAUGAACACCUACAUGACCAUGAACACCAUGACCACGAGCGGCAACAUGACCCCCGCUUCCUUCAACAUGUCCUACGCCAACCCGGGCCUGGGGGCCGGCCUGAGCCCCGGCGCCGUGGGCGGCAUGCCCGGGGGCUCGGCGGGCGCCAUGAACGGCAUGACGGCGGCGGGCGUGACGGCCAUGGGCGCGGCGCUGAGCCCGGGCGGCAUGGGCUCCAUGGGCGCGCAGCCCGCGGCCUCCAUGAACGGCCUGGGCCCCUACGCGGCCGCCAUGAACCCGUGCGUGAGCCCCAUGGCUUACGCGCCGUCCAAUCUGGGCCGCAGCCGCGCGGGCGGCGGCGGCGACGCCAAGGCCUUCAAGCGCAGCUACCCGCACGCCAAGCCGCCCUACUCGUACAUCUCGCUCAUCACCAUGGCCAUCCAGCAGGCGCCCAGCAAGAUGCUGACGCUGAGCGAGAUCUACCAGUGGAUCAUGGACCUCUUCCCCUACUACCGCCAGAACCAGCAGCGCUGGCAGAACUCCAUCCGUCACUCGCUGUCCUUCAACGACUGCUUCGUCAAGGUGGCGCGCUCCCCGGACAAGCCGGGCAAGGGCUCCUACUGGACGCUCCACCCGGACUCCGGCAACAUGUUCGAGAACGGCUGCUACCUGCGCCGCCAGAAGCGCUUCAAGUGUGAGAAGCAGCCGGGGGCCGGCGGGGGCGGGGGCGGCGGCGCCAAGGGCGUCCCCGAGAGCCGCAAGGACCCCGCGGGCGCGGGGAACCCCAGCGCCGAGUCGCCCCUCCACCGCGCCGUGCACGGGAAGGCCGGCCAGCUAGAGGGCGCGCCGGCCCCCGGGCCCGCCGCCAGCCCCCAGACUCUGGACCACGGUGGGGCCGCGGCGACAGGGGGCGCCGCGGAGUUGAAGUCUCCGGCGUCUUCCUCCGCGCCCCCCAUCAGCUCCGGGCCGGGGGCGCUGGCCUCCGUACCCCCCUCUCACCCGGCACACGGCCUGGCACCCCAUGAAUCUCAGCUGCACCUGAAAGGGGACCCCCACUACUCCUUUAACCACCCCUUCUCCAUCAACAACCUCAUGUCCUCCUCCGAGCAGCAGCACAAGCUGGACUUCAAGGCGUACGAGCAGGCCCUGCAGUACUCUCCCUACGGCGCCGCCUUGCCCGCCAGCCUGCCCCUGGGCAGCGCCUCAGUGGCCGCGAGGAGCCCCAUCGAGCCCUCAGCCUUGGAGCCGGCCUACUACCAAGAUCUUAUGUGCAUGAGUGUUUUUUGAGUGCUCAACAUCCAAGAAGGCAAGAAGAAGACACUGGAAUCUCAGGAACUGGAGUUACAAUUGGUUGUGAGCUGCCAUCUGCAUACCGGGAACUGAACUCAGAAUGCUGAUUCCAACUAUGAACAAGACUGUAAAAGUUGUGCUUUCUUACCAUUCCUUUUGGUCCUUAGAAUAUACACCCAUGAAGAUAUACAGAGUAUGAUGACCAAAAGUUCUUCAGAGCUUGUGUGAAGACUCAAGCUGUCCAAGCCUUUGGACCUGAUUUCAAUACUUCUAACCCACAUAAAGGUGAAAGAGAUUGCAGAAAGUUGUCUUCUCAUUUCCAUAAGUGUACCAUGGCAUGUAUGCUCAUUCUCAUCAUGUACACAUACGUGCCAUGGCAUGUGUGCUCAUCCUCAUCAUGUACACAUAUGUGCUAAGGCAUAUGUACUCAUCCUCAUCAUGUACACAUAUGUGGCAUAUGUGUUCAUCCUCAUCAUGUACAUAUGUGUGCCAUGGCAUUUGUGCUCAUCUUCAUCAUGUGCAUGUGCAAAAUAAUAAAAAAUUAAGAAUAACAAUACUUCAGUUAAUUACUUUCUCUUUACAAAGUUCUUAUUAGUUUGAUAUUAGAGUUAUUAUUGCUAUUGUAUUUAUUUUUAGGCUUGACUUUUCCCCCCUACAAAUGUGAUUUAGAUUCUGAGUAUGUAAUAUGUAAUAGCUUGAACAUUAAAACUAAAGGCAAUAUUUUCAUUUGUUUCUGGUUAUUCUUCUUAUUCCAGUGUAAAGAAUUUAUUUUUUAAGUUAGCAACAUGUCCUGGAAACUACUCAAGCUCAGUUUAUAGAUACACUUUUUAUUUUUUUAAUAGUUACUUUGUGUUCUAUUAUGAGAAUUUACUACAGUUUAUUUAUCUACUCUAUUUGGGUUGUUUCCACUUGCUACUAACAGUGAUAAUUUUUGAAUUAUUUGAUACUUAUGAAGGUAUAUACUCAGUGGAGAGCCCCGGGUGUAACCUUCCUCAAAGGAUGACUGCACAUGUUAUUUACUGCCAAGUCUUCCUCCUUGGGGGUUUUGUUUUGCCACUUUGCAUUCCCACAAGUAAUAUAUAAAAAUACAUAUAAGUUUUCUUUCUGUUUCUGAGAUUUAUGCUUAAAACAAUCUGCCUCUCAAAGGACUAAAACAUUAUUAUUUUUUUGUUAUUUCUGGAUCCAAAGAUGGAAUUAUAAUUUUGAAAUCUAACAUCUAUAUCAUGGGUAGGGUUUUCUUUAUUAAACUACUAUGAAUAUGAAAAUAUGAUUCAUUAGCUAGGUUUUGAAGUGCAGCAAGCAACCCACUCGUUUCAUCUUCUGGAUGAGAACACGGAGAGAAAACACAACUUAUUCAGCAUGCCUGAUAGCAAGGCUGGGUCCUAUUAAUCCACUGAUGCUACUAUUAUAUGCAAAGCUGUUUUCCCUUUAACUUGUAUUGCUAGUCUGUUAGUUUACCAUGUAUUCCUGUAGCUUGAGACACAAAAAAAUUAGUGAUAUAGACAGUUAUAUUUACUUCACAAAAAGUAGAAAUAAGAAAAAUCACUGAGUUAGGUUUAUAUUUUGCUUUAUUUUAGAUAAAGCUUCAAUUGUAUGGGGUUAAGUUUAGAAGUUUUAGACUUUCUAAAUCUAGUAACAAACUUACCCCUGGAAAAAAUAGGCCCUAUUUUAGCUUAAAGUGAGUCUCUAGUAUAUAAAAACACGUGACAAGUCAAAUAUGAUAGAUUACUCUUUAUUUUAUAAAAAUGCCCAGUUUCUAAUUUUUUUAAAAUGUCAAGUGAAGACAAGCAAAAAUAUAACUUCAAGAGCAGAGCAGUGUUCGAAGGCUUCUUAUACUAAAUGAUAUCUCUUUUAUAGUCCACCAAAAGAUAAGAAAAAAUUGUAUCUGUGUAUAUAAACAUUGACCUACUGUUUUACUGAUUCAUUCCUGUCAAACGGCAACAUAUCUACUAAAUGAGUCUCACAGUAAUAUCAACAGGUGACAUUAAUCAGCAUUGUAAAUGGAAGCCUCAAGCAGAAGUCAUGGGAUCGAUGAGCAUAAAUAUAAGCAACAAUUUUGUCCCAUUUUCAUAAUGUAAACUAUGCAACACAAAGUACAACCUGUAUGUUAAAGAUGACAUUAAUUUGAACUUGAAAAAUAAAGACAUUCGACCCACAUGUAAUAGGUACUCUUUUAUCCUUUUUAAAGACACUGACCUGUAUACUCAUCUAAAACUUAACACCACAUCUUUGCGUUAUUAAAUCUUUGUUUUGAUCUAUUAGUAUUCACCAAAGUGCCAUUUUAUAAAACUGCACACUGAAUAGCCCAGGCUGGAGGUGACCAUCUGCAGCUUUAGAGUCUGCCUUUGAAUCAAUGAAAGGAGCUUUGUGUUUUCAUUGCCAAGUUUGAUUCCUGUGGUCAUUAGGCAUUCCCCUCAGAUCGCAUCAAUGAAGCCGUACUCUCUUACGCCCAUGUGUUAAAUUCUCUUCUCCUCAUGGUUUCCUUUGCCAGUUGUACUCAAGAAUGACUAUUGGGUCUUAGCCACAUUCUUCUCACAGCUGUGUUAAAAAGAGCACCAGAAAGUCUUCCUGAAACCCAUAUGUGUAUAUGGUCAGUUCUGUGUCCUAGGGUCACCUCACAUUGCGGCAUGAUUAUGCAGAGGUUCAUUCUUCUUGAACUGUGCCUCUCCCAUCACUCUGGGAAAGAUUAGGCCUCUGGGAGUCAGCAGUAGAGAACUUGGAAGGCGGAUGUGAAAACACAUAACUCAACUUAGAAGGCAGAUUAGCUGAAGGAAGAUGUUUGAAAAUAUUAAAUGCUAUUUGUUAUUCUUAUCUAUCUUGCACAUGAUAAUAUAAAGAGAAAUCACAAAUGCUUAUACGUGCUUAUAGGAUACUUCAGAAGAAAGAGAAAAAUAUCAUAAUGUUCCAUGAACUAUUAAUAGUUUGUAUAGCUACAAAAAAAACCCUGAAAUGAAAAUUAUUAAGUUCUAAAAUGUCAUUUAUUGUGUUAAUUUUUGAAUCUUAAAUUUUACUUCUAGUCAACUGUAAUACAGAAAUAUCCAAUAAAUCAAUAUAAAGAUUU